UACAGAGGUCUCAAGCGUUGUUCGGAUUCAUUGGGCGUAAAGGGCGCGUAGGCUGCGGGGCAAGUCGGGUGUGAAAUCUCAGAGCUCAACUCUGAAACUGCACUCGAUACUGCUUUGCUUGAGGACUGGAGAGGAGAUUGGAAUUCACGGUGUAGCAGUGAAAUGCGUAGAUAUCGUGAGGAAGACCAGUGGCGAAGGCGGAUCUCUGGACAGUUCCUGACGCUGAGGC
rnacentral:rRNA from 1 species